rnacentral:rRNA from 1 species
UACGUAGGGGGCUAGCGUUGUCCGGAAUCAUUGGGCGUAAAGAGCGUGUAGGCGGUUCGGUAAGUCCGCUGUGAAAGUCCAGGGCUCAACCCUGGAAUGCCAGUGGAAACUGCCGAGCUAGAGUCCGGAAGAGGCGAGUGGAAUUCCUGGUGUAGCGGUGAAAUGCGUAGAUAUUGGGAGGAACACCAGUGGCGAAGGCGGCUCACUGGACCGGUACUGACGCUCAUGCACGAAAGCGUGGGGAGCAAACAGG